rnacentral:rRNA from 1 species
GUAGGUGGCAAGCGUUGUCCGGAAUUAUUGGGCGUAAAGCGCGCGCAGGCGGUCCUUUAAGUCUGAUGUGAAAGCCCACGGCUCAACCGUGGAGGGUCAUUGGAAACUGGGGGACUUGAGUACAGAAGAGGAAAGCGGAAUUCCAAGUGUAGCGGUGAAAUGCGUAGAGAUUUGGAGGAACACCAGUGGCGAAGGCGGCUUUCUGGUCUGUAACUGACGCUGAGGCGCGAAAGCGUGGGGAGCAAACAGGGAUUAGAUACCCUGGUAGUCCACGCCGUAAACGAUGAGUGCUAAGUGUUAGGGGGUUCCCGCCCCUUAGUGCUGCAGCUAACGCAUUAAGCACUCCGCUGGGGAGUGCGCCGCAAGGCUG